GAUGAACGCUAGCUACAGGCUUAACACAUGCAAGUCGAGGGGUAACGAGAGGAAAGCUUGCUUUCCUUGUCGACGACCGGCGCACGGGUGAGUAACGCGUAUCCAACCUGCCCCCAACUAAGGAAUAACCUUGCGAAAGUAAGACUAAUACCUUAUAAUUUCCUCAGAUGUCAUCUGACGAGGAAUAAAGAUUUAUCGGUUGUGGAGGGGAAUGCGUCUGAUUAGCUUGUUGGCGGGGUAACGGCCCACCAAGGCAACGAUCAGUAGGGGUUCUGAGAGGAAGGUCCCCCACAUUGGAACUGAGACACGGUCCAAACUCCUACGGGAGGCAGCAGUGAGGAAUAUUGGGCAAUGGGGGGAACCCUGAUCCAGCCAUGCCGCGUGUGUGAAGAAGGCCUUAUGGUGGUAAAGCACUUUAAGCGAGGAGGAGGCUCUUUUGGUUAAUACCCAAGAUGAGUGGACGUUACUCGCAGAAUAAGCACCGGCUAACUCCGUGCCAGCAGCCGCCGUAA
rnacentral:rRNA from 1 species